rnacentral:rRNA from 1 species
AUUGCACGCUGGCUGCAGGCCUAACACAUGCAAGUCGAGCUAGCGGCGGACGGGUUAGUAAUGUCUGGUAAAGUGCCUGAUGAGGGGGGAUAAACCCUGGCAACGGUAGCUAAUACCGCAUACCAUCAGAUAUGCCCCUAUGGGAUUCGCGAGUAGGUGGGGUAACGGCUCACCUAGGCGACGCGCCCUAGCUGGUCUGAGAGGAUGACCAGCAACACUGGAACUGAGACACGUGCCAGACUCCUACGGGAGGCAGCAGUGGGGAUUAUUGCACAAUGGGCGCAAGCCUGAUGAAGCCAUGCCGCGUGUGUGAAGAAGGCCUUCGGUUUGUAAAGCACUUUCAGCGGGGAGGCGUUACCCGCAGAAGAAGCACCGGCUAACUCCGUGCCAGCAGCCGCGGUAAUAC